UAAUUUCAUCAAUUGCGCAAUUAAUGGUAAUUAUUAGUGAGCAUGAUGAUUGUCGGAGAGAUGGGGUCAAUUGCCUUCGUCUUCGUGUAUAGAACUGCGGGUGCAUAGGUCCAAUCCCGAGAAUCACACUACGAAAAACCGUUCAAUAUAUCUAUGUCAGUAGAAUACAUACAUAAUAAAUAUCUGAUACGAAUCCCCGACUUUUACGUAACCGCGGGGAAGUCGCAUAUGUAAUCAAAAGUUCCGAGACCGGCUUCACAUCUUUCGUUCCACGCAUCUCGAUAGUAUCGGACCGCCGUAAUAAUGGCCACCACAGCUGAAGCUCGACUCUUGUUUGGCGGGGUUCCACGAGUAUCGAGGAAUCCGUCACAAUUUUCAUCCCUCAAGUUUUACUCGAACUUACCGGAGUACUUGCAAUUGGAUUGCCCCCUUGGGCGCAUGAAGCUGUCACUUUCCAUUUGACGGUCUCGCUCCAUCAUUUCUGGUAAUGUUUUUCAUCGCGUGAGAAAUCAUGUAACAUAUGUGAAAUUAUUGUUUGACUCA